rnacentral:tRNA from 1 species
GGCCCCGUAGCUCAGUUGGAUAGAGCACAGGAUUCCUAAUCCUGGUGUCGAGUGUUCAAAUCACUCCGGGGUCACCA